UACGUAGGGUGCAAGCGUUGUCCGGAAUUAUUGGGCGUAAAGAGCUCGUAGGCGGUUUGUCGCGUCUGCUGUGAAAUCUGGGGGCUCAACCCCCAGCCUGCAGUGGGUACGGGCAGACUAGAGUGCGGUAGGGGAGAUUGGAAUUCCUGGUGUAGCGGUGGAAUGCGCAGAUAUCAGGAGGAACACCGAUGGCGAAGGCAGGUCUCUGGGCCGCAACUGACGCUGAGGAGCGAAAGCAUGGGGAGCGAACAGG
rnacentral:rRNA from 1 species